AAACUAAAAGAAAAUCUAAUUGAUAUUACUCGAAUAUAGAAGAUCUAAGUGUAUUAUAAGUUAUUGGGAUUAUUGUUGUGUACUGUAGCAUUAGUAUUUACAAAAUUAUACCUUAGGGGUGAAACGCCUUCACUUUUGUUGAUAGCUAGAUAAAUGUUAAAUAUAUUAAGUUUAUAAUAAAUUUACAAAGUGAUAAGAUUUUGUAAUUAAUAAUUAUGUGUAUAUAUUUUAAUUGCCAACAACUAUAAAUUAUUGGCAAACUAUGAAAUUAAAAUACUUCUACAUUAUAGUAAUUUUUUAAUAGCGUUUCAUUUUAUUUAUUUUCACUAAAUAAAAUAGAUAAUGUAUAAAUAAGUAUUUAUUAUAUAAAUUUAAUUUAAGGAACUCGGCAAUUAUGUGUACGACUGUUUAACAAAAACAUAGCCGGUAGCUAUUAAAUUAUCGGUGAUACCUGCCCAGUGAUAUUUUAACGGCCGCAGUACUAUGACUGUGCAAAGGUAGCAUAAUCAUUUGGCUUUUAAUUGAAGUCUAGUAUGAAAGGAUAAACGUACACAAGCUGUCUCAGUUGUAAAUUUAUUAAAAUUAUUUAUAGGGUGAAAAUACCCUAGGUAUGAAAAAUAGACGAGAAGACCCUCAGAAUUUUAAGAAAAGUUAGCAAUUAUAAAUGGCGUGAUUUUUGUUGGGGCAACAUUUUUUCAGAUAAAUAAAAAUUAUAUAUUUAACAUAACGAAUAAGUUUAAUAAAGUAAAAAUUACCUAAGGGAUAACAGCAUAAUUUUAAGUAAAGAUUGUGACCUCGAUGUUGGACUAGGAACUAUUAAGGCUAGUCGUUUUAAUAUAAUAGGUUCUGUUCGAACUUUAUUUCCUACAUGAC
rnacentral:rRNA from 1 species